ACAAAGCCAUGAGACACAGGUAGUACUGAAAUCUUAAAGGUUACCAGAUACUCCCCAAGUGCCACAGAGUAGGAACGGUUUUGUGCGUAAAUGGACCUACAGGACUAGGAAUCACUGUUGGGGUGGUUAGAAAUGAGUUCUGGGAAGACCAUGUGUCAUGGAUAGAUGUGGGUGUCAUCAGGGCAGAAGCUAAGGUCUUCAGAGAAUAAUACUUCCCUGCCGCUGUCUCCAGUGUGCACUGCACAGAGACCAUUGGGAAAUCUCAAUCUCCUUUGCAUACUCAGAUUAUAGACCCCCGUCUCUGAUUCACAGUGGCAUCUUCUGUUGUGACCACAGGCAAAGACUCUCAAGGCAAAUGGCAGCUUCCAUGCCUAGUUCGUGCUCUGAGACACCAGUGUGGCCACUACCUCUAGCUCUGUCAGCUGGGAAGACACCCUUUUAUCCAUUCAAACUCCCAGUAAGAUCCUGGCUGCCAGAGCCAAGAGUACAUUCACUUCUGACACGGUAGAGGGUUAUUUCUCCACCAUAUUCUUAUUGGGACAACUGUUGUUUUUUGCUUUUCAGUAUUUUCCAGUAUGCUUUAUGCCUUCCCAAAAUUUCAUUGAUUCCAGUUCCUACACACACACACACGAGAGAGAGAGAGAGAGAGAGAGAGAGAGAGAUUCCUUCAAACACUUGGAGCUGUCUCCCUCUGUAUCCUCACACAGACACUCACUUCUAUCUUGUUUGAUAGAACCUUAGUGCAGACUGGCAAAGGUUAUUUAACUUUUUGUUCAUUUUGAACCCAUAGUGAGUAUUCUACCAUCUUGGCCUAGCCAUUGGAAAAAGUCCUUAAUCUUUAUCAAGCAGAAUGUGGAGGAAUGAAGAGAACAAAUUCAUCACAACACCUAGAAUAGAAUUAGUCC
rnacentral:lncRNA from 1 species